GGUUAAGUGACUAAGCGUACACGGUGGAUGCCUUGGCAGUCAGAGGCGAUGAAGGACGUAUUAACUUGCGAUAAGCCCAGAUUAGGCAGUAAAAACCAUUUGAGUCUGGGAUUUCCGAAUGGGGAAACCCACUUACAUAAGUAAGUAUCGUUAUGUGAAUACAUAGCAUAACGAGGCGAACCGGGGGAACUGAAACAUCUAAGUACCCCG
rnacentral:rRNA from 1 species